rnacentral:misc_RNA from 1 species
CCAACUUGUGUUUCUGUUUGCCUUGAAUGGUGGUGGUAUGAAUUUAUGAUAAUGCUAUGUGGUCUUCUUGUUAACCCAAAAGCCACCAUAGCUUCAAUGGGAAUCCUUAUCCAGACAACCUCUUUAGUCUACGUCUUCCCAUCAUCUCUAAGCCUUGGAGUCUCAGCCAGGGUUGGGAACGAGUUAGGGGCUAACCGGCCGGCGAAAGCCCGCAUUUCCAUGAUUGUUUCUCUGGUAUGUGCACUUGCUUUAGGCCUGCUGGCGAUGCUAUUCACAAUAGUAAUGAGGCAUCAAUGGGGAAGAUUUUUCACCAGCGAUGCAGAGAUUCUGGAGCUUACUGCAGUAGCAUUGCCAAUUGCCGGACUGUGCGAGCUGGGAAAUUGCCCACAAACAACUGGUUGUGGAGUUCUAAGAGGAAGUGCUAGGCCUACCAUCGGUGCUAAUAUCAAUUUGGGUUCAUUUUACUUGGUUGGUAUGCCAGUGGCAAUCUUGAUGGGGUUUGUAGCAAAAAUGGGAUUUGCAGGGCUCUGGCUUGGGUUGCUUGCAGCUCAAGCCUCCUGUGCGAUCCUCAUGCUAUAUGUGUUAUGCAGAACAGACUGGAUAGUUCAAGCAGAGCGAGCAAGAGAGCUCACAAAAACUUCUGCAACUAAUAACACUUCAAUGUUACCAACAUCAUCAUCAAAACCAGAAUAUAUUACUAACAACAAAAAGGCUAAUCUUGAAGAGGUAUUGUGCAUUAAUGAUGAGCUUGUGAAGUCAACUUCACUUGAAACAGAUCCUCUGAUAUCUACAACAACAACUGUGCAUUGAUUAGAGUCCAC